CAAUAGCGUAUAUUAAAAUUGUUGCGGUUAAAAAGCUCGUAGUUGGAUUUCUGCCGAGGACGACCGGUCCGCCCUCUGGGUGAGCAUCUGGCUCUGCCUGGGCAUCUUCUUGGAGAACGUAUCUGCACUUGACUGUGUGGUGCGGUAUCCAGGACUUUUACUUUGAGGAAAUUAGAGUGUUUCAAGCAGGCAUACGCCUUGAAUACAUUAGCAUGGAAUAAUAAGAUAGGACCUCGGUUCUAUUUUGUUGGUUUCUAGAGCUGAGGUACUGAUUAAUAGGGAGUAGUUGGGGGCGAUUCGUAUUUAACUGUCAGAGGUGAAAUUCUUGGAUUUUUAAAGUACGAACAAUUGCGAAGGCUAUCUACCCAGGAUGUUUUUGUUUGAUCAAGAACGAAAGUUAGGGGAUCGAAGAUGAUUAGAUACCAU
rnacentral:rRNA from 1 species